UACGGGGGGUGCGAGCGUUGUCCGGAAUCACUGGGCGUAAAGGGCGCGUAGGCGGUUUGUCGCGUCUGCUGUGAAAGCUGGAGGCUCAACCUCCAGCCUGCAGUGGGUACGGGCAGACUAGAGUGCGGUAGGGAGAUUGGAAUUCCUGGUGUAGCGGUGGAAUGCGCAGGAUAUCAGGAGGAACACCGGUGGCGAAGGCGGCCCUCUGGACGGAUACUGACGCUGAGGCGCGAAAGCGUGGGGAGUCAAACAGGA
rnacentral:rRNA from 1 species